GACAAGGUUAUAAAGACAUGAAUAAACACAAUUUUUAAACAUGUUUGUUUUUCCUUCCGCAGUUGCCUAAUGACAGUGUUUACAUUGGGUUAGAUGGUUCUGAGCAUACAGUCUGUGUAAGGUAAUACCAACAAAACACUCCUGUGAGCAGACAGCUAGAGAACUGGCUUUUCUCACUGCUUUGUGUGAGCACCCUCAGCUCUAACACUGGCCCUCCC
rnacentral:lncRNA from 14 species